rnacentral:lncRNA from 1 species
UGACUUCGUCACAUAAGUCACGAUUUGGUGCCGUUUGACCACGAUCGACUUGGAUUGUCUAAAAUAACGCGAAGGAAUAUAAAAGGUAAGAACUCAGUUACUUUCAUUUUUCUUAAUGGACAAUCAAGAUAUUUCUAUGUCAGUACAACAAAUAGAAAUGGCUUUUCAAGGGAUGGCACACAUAUUCAGUAAAGUUUUUAAUGUAAGGGAAGUCAGGCCGUAUUUUUAAAAUGCUUAAAAUCAGAAGUUUUGUCACGAGUUGUGGUAGGAACAAAUUGUUUUUAUUAGGUAUAUUUUAAGGUAUUAUAGGUCGAUUAAAAAACUAUGAAUAUUAUACACAUUUUUUUUUAUUAGAGAACAAGGUUAUUUUUUAAGUGUAUUUUUAUCGGCUGUUAUUUAAUAGAUAGGAUAAAUUAUAUAAUAUGAUUCUUAAAAAAUAAAUUUUUUUUUAAGUUUGAAGAAGCUAGUUUUUCGUUUAGAGUAAUAUGUAAAAAAAAAACAAGUAAAUAUGUCUUGAUACAAUAUCAUUUUUUGGAGGUAUUUUGUUUUUUUUUUUUUUUGAUCAUAUUAUGGGUUAUUUUUUUGAAGAUACAUUCAAUUAUUCUAGAAAACAUAUGUUUUACGUAAAUUUAGUAGUGCACCGGUGUAAAUUAAGGUUGAUUUAGAACCUUUGGUAGAUGAAGUUAAGGGUACUUUGAGGAUACAUUGUUUGCGUGUUAGAGCCAUUGGGUGAUGGUUUCGCAGUUGGGUAGUGUUUACGCACAUUUGUUUAGAGAAAACAAAUAGUCUAUAAUUUUAGAUUCCAACCUCUUCUUCGGAUGAUUAACAUAAGUGAUGUUAAGUUAUUAAAUGGUGCAAGUUUUUUUUUAUGGUGUUAGAUUACGCCAUAUUUACAUAUUGUUAAUAGAUUAAGAGAAGUAUCUUCAUAAAGUAGCACAUUAAAGAAAAACAUGGAUAUGUUUGCCCUUAGGGAUUUACUAGUAUUGUUGUAGUAGACUGAUAUUUGUAAAGAAAAAAAAAGAAAUAUAUGAACUUUAGAACUUAAUGACAAAAUUUUAGUGAAAUAGAUAAUUGAUAUAAAAGGAAAACUAGCAUUCAAGUAAAAUUGAAAUUGAAAAGUAAACAAUGAUGAGGAUUAUAAUCAUGAAAUAAGAAUAAGGAAACAAUUAUUUAAGGAGUUGAAAAAAAAGAAUCUUAACGAUGUGUUUUGUUCAUAAGUAGUCAUAGAUUUUUUUUUAAUUGUUUUAGUUUUAAGAGGUUAGUUAAGUUUUAAAUGUAUAUACUAUUUUUAAACUCAGAUCUCAACAUAGUCGUAUGUAAAUGUAUAAAAGGGAUAGGCAGUAGGUUUGAAAUUUUAAAACAAAUGAAAAAUAGAUAUAUAAAAAAGAAAGGAAAUAGUAUAAGGAAACUAUAUACUAAUUUUAGAAAAAUGUAAUACAUUACAGAGAACGACAUUUUUUUCGCAAUAAGGUGUUUUUGUUGUCAAAUAUGAAAUGUAGAGUCAGUAACAAAUUGCGCAAGAGGUAGUUAAAAUUUUAUUAAUGGAAUCUUAAAUGUUGUUAAUUUUUUGGUCUAUAUCUAACGUUAAGAUUAAUUAAUGAAGCAAACAAAAUAAAACUGUAAAAGUAUUACAAUUGGGAACAAAGUAACACAUAUAAUAUUUAGUAUAUAUUAUUUGUUAUAGGUAUUAUGUAGGUGUAGGGG